rnacentral:lncRNA from 1 species
GGAUAUUAAGCAAAAAUUGUAGGAAGAUCCGGAGACCAGUAAGAUCAUAAAAAUAAAAAAAAUAAAAAAAAUGGUGGAGGCACCAAGCUCCGUGGCUCAUUACAAUUGGGACUCAAAAGAAUUACACUAUAAGGGCACUAUAUUGAAAAGGAGUAUAACGUAUUACCCGCAAACCAAUAGCUAAACAGAAGUGGUAAACAAGUGCUUGGAGAUAGCCC